CUUUGACGAUUUGAAAAAGGUUGCCAUGGUUACAGAAAUUGGAGGAGUGUCCAGCUGUGCGAGUCCUCAUGCCCCAUGAAUUGGCGGUCCAGUUCAGCCUUUUUGGACGACAUUGGAAACACAAGCUCCGUGACCCGCGUCUCUUUGAAGUUGUGUAUGGGACACUUAAAAGAAAUGGAUCCAUCUACAGAAUCACACAAAGAUAUGGAAAAGGCACUCUCAAAGUGGUUUACUGGAGCCUGUGACUGGUGGAAAUAGGAAAGUUAGAACAACUAGGGAGGCUGUCCGUUCAAACUCAGGUGGGCAGAUCUUUCAAGAUGGACAGUUUCAAUAAUGUAUGAGAGCUUUCUAAGUUUAAGCAUGCAUGUGACAUGAAGGUUAUUCUUAAAAAUGUUUGACAAAACGGUAUUGUGAAAGAUCUAUAUAGCUCUGGGUAUGUAUAUACGUAUAUAUCUACAGUACAGACCAAAAGUUUGGACUCACAGUUGUGUCCAAACUUUUGGUCUGCACUGUAUGUUAUAUAGAUGGUAUUUAGAUUUAUACAUUAAUAUAGAUCUUUACAGAUAUAUGUAGGUGUCUUUAUAUGUGUGCAGCUAUAGAUAUAUGUUCAUUAAUCUAUAUUUAUAGAUCUGUUUAUAUGUUUGUUAUAGUAAACUAGUUUCUGUUUUCAAAAUGCCAUGUGAAUAAUUGUUUUUUUAUUUUAUUUUUUUUAACAGCGCAUUUUUUGUUGUGGCACCAUUUGCUGAGUGUUAAUGAAGUUCUAAUAAUUGCUGUAGUGAGGUAAAAAAUAACUUCUGACAAUAUUUCAAAUUACAAAAUAAAACGCCUUGACCAAAAUAAAUUUUUCAUCUCUUUUUUUUUCUAUUGCAAGUUUUAUGCUAACACAUUUUAGGACCUUUGUUUUGUUGAUCAAGAUUGCAUAUCUAAGAAUGUAAUUCACUUCCAGGUUAGGUGAGAAAGACCCCAUUGUUCCUACAAGGAUAAGGCAUCUGGGUCCCACUGAAAACCCAGUUAAAGCCCAUUAAAAUAUACCUGGGCAAACCCAUGUGGGGCCACCAUGGAAACCUUGGACAAACCCACUUGUUACCCAUAUUCUAGCUCAGAUCAGACCCAAUUGGGACCUAGGUAAAUAUUCCUCAAGGCACCUUCGUGGGUCUCAUGUAAGAUAACCAUCUGGGCCCC